rnacentral:rRNA from 1 species
CUGAUGCAGCCAUGCCGCGUGUAUGAAGAAGGCCUUCGGGUUGUAAAGCACUUUCACUUGUGAGGAAAGUUGUGUAGUUUAUAGCUGCUUCUCUUGACGUUAGCAACAGARGARGCACCGGYUAACUCCGUKCCAGCAGSCGCGGUAAUACKGARGGUGCGAGCGUUAAUYGGAAUUACUGGGCGUAAAGCGCAUGCAGGUGGUUCRUUAAGUCAAGAUGUGAAAGCCCGGGGCUCAACCUCGGAACUGCAUUUGAAACUGGUGAACUAGAGUGCUGUAGAGGGGGGGAGAAUUUCAGGUGUAGCGGUGAAAUGCGUAGAGAUCUGAAGGAAUACCAGUGGCGAAGGCGGCCCCCUGGACAGAUACUGACACUCAGAUGCGAAAGCGUGGGGAGCAAACAGGAUUAGAUACCCUGGUAGUCCACGCCGUAAACGAUGUAUACUUGGAGGUUGUGGCCCUGAGCCUUCGC